GAUGAACGCUGGCGGCGUGCCUAAUACAUGCAAGUCGAGCGAACAGACGAGGAGCUUGCUCCUCUGACGUUAGCGGCGGAAGGGUGAGUAACACGUGGAUAACCUACCUAUAAGACUGGGAUCACUUCGGGAAACCGGAGCUAAUACCGGAUAAUAUAUUGAACCGCAUGGUUCAAUAGUGAAAGACGGUUUUGCUGUCACUGAUAGAUGGAUCCGCGCCGCAUUAGCUAGUUGGUAAGGUAACGGCUUACCAAGGCAACGAUGCGUAGCCGACCUGAGAGGGUGAUCGGCCACACUGGAACUGAGACACGGUCCAGACUCCUACGGGAGGCAGCAGUAGGGAAUCUUCCGCAAUGGGCGAAAGCUUGACGGAGCAACGCCGCGUGAGUGAUGAAGGUCUUCGGAUCGUAAAACUCUGUUAUUAGGGAAGAACAAAUGUGUAAGUAACUAUGCACGUCUUGACGGUACCUAAUCAGAAAGCCACGGCUAACUACGUG
rnacentral:rRNA from 1 species